UCAGGAAUCUUGGACAAUGGACGAAAGUCUGAUCCAGCGACGCCGCGUGGAGGAUGAAGGCCUUCGGGUUGUAAACUCCUUUUGUAUGCUAGCAAAGUAUGAGCAGCAUAAGAAUAAGGGACUCCUAACUUCGUGCCAGCAGGAGCGGUGAUACGAAGGUCCCAAGCGUUAUCCGGAAUUACUGGGCGUAAAGAGAUACGUAGGUGUCUAGUUAAGUUAUUUGUCAAAUCUUUCAGCUUAACUGAAAAUCGGCAAGUAAUACUGGCUAGAUUGAGACAAUCAGGGGAGGGAGGAAUUUCCAGUGGAGCAGUUAAAUGCGUUGAUAUUGGAAAGAACACCAAUGGCGAAGGCAUCCCUCUAAGAUUGUUCUGACACUAAGGUUCGAAAGCGUGGGGAGCAAAACGG
rnacentral:rRNA from 1 species